CCCCACCCCAGGGAUAAUCAUUCUUAACACCCCUUGUUUUUAAUCUUUUCUCCAGACGCCCUGGAAAUUAUAGGCUUGUGGUCAAAUACGCUUGUCAAAUCCUGCAUAGUAAGUAAGGGCUAUGUGGAGCCCUGCAGCGAAGAACUCUGUCUUCCUGACCUCCCAGACUCAUCGGACUGUGGAGGGCAUUGCUCCUGGGUCAGGCUGCUGAGGAGAGCUCCAGUUCUGUGCAAUCCUUCCUGGGAGGUGCUGGAACACACCUGAAUAAGACAAAAUCCCAGACCCCAGCGGGCCUCAGAGACCUGGCCCUGAGAAGGCCCCUCUUCCCCUGGACUCUUUCUCUGCAGGAUUUCUCACUAAUUGCUGCUUGUGCCCCAUUCCGGUUUAGGAACAGUUUCUCUCCCAGCUGGCUGAGAAUCUGCUGGGACAUUUUAAAUAAAGCCUUCACAGAGGACCCGGGAACAGAGAAAGGAGAUGGACAGGGUGUGCCAUUGCUGGAUUAUACGUUUUUAUAGUUCUUCAAUUCACAGUUACAUCCAGGAUCCAUUUUCAGGUAAUUUUUUAUAUAAAUAAUGUGGUUGAGAUUGAGGUUAAUUUUUGCCCAAUGCUAAUUAUGGUUCAAGCAUCACUUGCUGAAAAGACAUCCUCCCUCCAGUGAGUUGCUUUUGCAACUUUACAAAAAUCAGAUGGAUUGGGGAUAUUUUUAUGGUUCCAUUUCUCUUUCAUUGAUCUGUCCUUGGGCCAACAGCACACUUUCUUGAUUACUACAGAUGCAGAUGCUCCUCAGCUGAUGAUGCAGUUUUCUCCCAAUAUGUCUAAUGUAAGUUAAAAAUACUGUAAGUUGAAAAUGUAUUUAAUACACCUAACCUACCAAGGGUCAGAGCUUAGCCUCGCCUGCCUUAAACACGCUCUGAAGACUUUGUUUGGGCAGCAUCAUCUAACAUAAAGCCUAUUUCAUAAUGAAGUGUGGAAUAUGUUAUGCAAGUUAUUGAAAACUGUACUGAAAGGAAAAGCAGAAUGGUGGCAUGGGUUUUCUCCAUUAGCAUACACAGCUGGAACCUUGCUGGGCCUGGAGAACAUUUGAAGCCUUGAACUAAACUUAAUUGCUGGACGAUGGGUAUGCUGCAGUGCCAGGGUCAUCGACCUCUCUCCUUUCUGAUAUGGCUUGAGAAUCGCUGCUGGAAGGCUCUGGGGCACUGACACUUGUUGAUGGUUUAGCAGAAGUAGUGUUCCUCAGGAAGAUGUCAUGUUUCAGUAUCCAUUGCUUAUCCUCGUGAUCUUGAGGCUGACUGGAGCUGAGGCUCCCUGCUGCUGCCCAGCCCUGCGAUGGUAUCAUAGGGCAUAUCACUAGCAUGGGAAAAGAUAAAAAUUCAAAAUUUGAAGUGCUGUUUCUACUGAAUGCAUAUUGGUUUUGCACUGUUGUAAAGCUGAAAAAUCCGAGGUCAAGCCAUCCUAAGUCAGGGGCCAUCUUCAUAUUGUAGGAUAGAAUAUGAAGAUGGCCAGAUAGAAUGUCAGAUAGAAUGACUCCUCCCACUAUUUUUCAAAAGUGUUUUAACUAUUCUGGUAUUUUUUUCAUUUGCAUAUACAGUUUAUAACAAUCUUUUCUAUAUCGACAAAAUAGCUUGCUGAGAUUUCAUUAGGAAUGACUUGUAUACCAUUUUGAGGAGAACUGACGUCUUUGUUAUAUUGAGUAUUCCAAUUCAGGAACAUGGCAUGCCUCAAUGUGUUUAAAUAUUUU
ensembl:lncRNA